UACGUAGGGUGCAAGCGUUAAUCGGAAUUACUGGGCGUAAGACGUGCGCAGGCGGUUAUGUAAGACAGGUGUGAAAUCCCCGGGCUUAACCCUGGGAACUGGCAUUUGUGUACUGCAUAGCUAGAGUACGGUAGAGGGGGAUGGAAUUCCGCGUGUAGCAGUGAAAUGCGUAGAUAUGCGGAGGAACACCGAUGGCGAAGGCAAUCCCCUGGACCUGUACUGACGCUCAUGCACGAAAGCGUGGGGAGCAAACGAGG
rnacentral:rRNA from 1 species